rnacentral:lncRNA from 1 species
GGGAAAUAGCACCACUGCUCUUGCAGAAGUGCGGGGGGCGUGAACCGUUCCUCUGUCGUCCACCGUAGAUCUUCUGGAAGCCACCGAUCCCAAUACCCUGCCUCAGGUAGAUCUUCCUUGCAAUUGAAGCUAUAAAUGAAAUCCAAAAUAUAAAUUAGCAUGUGCCAAGCAAAUUCAUUAUACCUGUGGAUAAAGAGGCUAUACAUUGGAAAUGGUAGAACACAUUCCCUUACCAGCUCUGAUGUAGUAGCAAUCAGGAUCAUUGGGAGGAAGCUCCUUGAACCUUGCAGUCUUCACAAUAUCAACCCACUCAGGAAGCUCCAUCUGUAAGGACAUAUAAAUACAAAAUUUUAGUUCCCCAGAGUCUGGCACCCGAUCUAUUUGCAGUUCACCGAUGUAUGUAGCAACACAAAUCACAACAGUAAGUAAACUACCAUUAAUAAAGAUGCAUUAUCCAUCGGAAGAACUAGUGAUACCAUCGAAAUGCAGUGAUUAGUAUUCCGUAGUAGUGUAGGUCAGAAAAGUUGUAAGUUGUUCACAUUUUACACUAGGCUCAAACAUUAGAUCAGAUAGGCAUCUAGCUUCCAUUUACAGUAACCAUCAGUUGACACACAUACCAACAGAAACAACACUAGGCAAUAACAGAGAUAAAAUGCUUAUUUGCAGGUUAAGUGAGACGAUUAUUGGUCUCUUAUUUGCGGGUUAAGUGAGACGGUUAUUGACUACUUAAAUGAUUUACAUUCCCAGAGAAGUGGACAGACAAAAACAUCAUGAUAUAAUUGCUACAGAGAAUAAACCGGCAGCAGGGACAAAAAACAGAAAUCAAAACAAGCAGCAUUAGGCCCUUGCCCCUUGGCAAUCUAAAGGAGAGCCAACAACAUAGUGCAUGAGAUCUAGAAAUAGUAAACCGAUUUCGCACAAUUCUACAUGGACAACUGGAAUAUUGUAAAAGAAAUCAUCCGUGAUCCACAAAUACUAGACUAACGGCAACCAUUCCAAAGCAGCUCCUACACGGUAAGAAAGUUCCUAAAGGGACAGGCUUUGUUCGCCUACGAAGCAAUCCGAUUCCAAAAAUUCACAGGGAAAUUAGCAGAUUAGACGCUUGGUCACCAAUAGACCGGGAUACAACACUCCCCUACUCGAAUCUAACCUAGCGACAGAUCUGAAAGAAGGGGCGUGUUACCUUGCCCGAGCGCUUGAGGUGCGCGGUGUAUUUCUUGUUGAAGUCGUGGGGGGCGACAUCCUUCACCGUGAGCGCCGAGGAGGCCGUGGCUGCGGUCUCGGUAGUGGUAGCCAUCCUGCCGCCUCUCGCCGAAGACACCGCUGUCAAGGAGGAAGUGGGAUGCACGCCGCUGCGGCUGAGAGGGCUAGGGUUUUUGAGGGAGGUUGGGGUGCGUGGGCGGACGAGGGAGGGAAUUUAUACUGGGGCGGAGUUGGAUUAUGGGCCGCAUCCCGCAUCAUGAAGAAGUGGGCCGGGUGGGAAUCCAAGGUUUAGACCAGGCCGAAGACAAAACUCUUCCAUACCCAAAAUAUUCCCUGCCCAAGAAAAGUCAAAGCUCCUCUCUCAAAAAAGAAGUGAAAGCUGCUAAAAAAAAUUCAAAGAAAGAAAAUUGGCGGCGGUGUCUGCUGGAUUUCUAGUUCGUACGUGGGCUCAUACGCCACACUAAAGAGGUGUAUGUUUGCGGAAACCGCAAAAGGGAUAAGAUAAACUGUUCGAACGUAGGUGAUGUUUAUUCCGUCGAAAUCGAGAUUGGGUGAAGUGGGGAGGUGUUGGUCAUGUGAAGGGGAACUGGCUCAGGGCCCAACACUUGUUUUGGAAGAUGGAGGAGAGGACAAGGGAGCUUGGCCUUGAGCCGCGAAAGGUUCGCAAGAAAAGUUAAAUUGGCACCAUGCAGAGAGGUUGAAAUAACAAGCCCAUUAAAGGUAAGAAAGAUUUAUCGAGUGGGCACAAUAUCAUGUGGUGAUGGAUAUCCUUGCUUGCCCGUCUCGGUGUUACUUUUUUCUCUUGAGCUAUCAUUUGCAAUCCCUGUUGGUAAUUGUUAUAAUGUUGUACUUUUUUAUUUUGUUUUUCUUUCCAAUGUACUUACUUCGGAAAGAAGUAGAGCCCAUCACCUAAGAAAAGAUGAUCUAAUGGUAGCUCUCGAUUCCUGGUGUGUCUGCCUAUCACCGCAACUCGUGAACUAUGAAAUUCUUCAAUUUGAGUAAUGCUAUUCAGGUGAGGAACACCCCACCCGCCCACCCACCCACCCACAGUUUGAUUCCGGAAGUAAGAAAUGUUACUCUUCGCAUGAUCCAUCAUUUGUCUGUAAAUUAGCUUGCUCCGUGUGCAACAGAUCCAAUCCCUUGUGCUAUGCAUUAAACAUAUUCUUGUGGAAAUUUUCAACUGCUAGCAAACAAAAAUACAAGACAAUGGACAAGCAAAUGUUUUCAAUACUAUGUAUUUCACACCCCUGAAAAAUGACAGUAGAACAUACUUUUAACAUGAAAAAAUAUAGAGAAAAGGUUCACUCUUUGAGAACUAACAUACAAAAUCAUUGUCUUCAGAGGUUACCAUGGAACAUGGCAACUUUAAGAUUUUACACACCAAGGAUCCAACUACACAAGUAUGGCAAAAGGUACAAAAGUAAGACUUACAAGACCAACCAUCCAAUUAUGCUAUAAUUACCUUUAAGAAAGAACUACAACUACCAUCUCAUUAUGCCACCUUUACCUUGAUAAAAACUGUAACUACCAUAUAAUUAUGCUAGGGUUACCACUAUCAAAGAAUUGGACAUGCUCUCUACUUAUGCUAUAGUUACCUCCAUCAAGAACUAGACCUACCAUCUGCUUAUGUUACCUUAACCAUUGUAAAGAAAUGCAGCUGACAUCUAUCUAUGCUACAAUUACAUAUGCGAUGAACAAAAACUACCAUCUAGUUAGGCUACAUUUUCCCUAGGUAAGAAAUGCAGAUACCACCUUAUUAUAUUACAAUUAGUACCGGACUAGCUGUCCUGUGUCCCAGCCAAGUCUUACGGUGCGGCGUUCAACACUUCACCACACAUGUACACGAGCAUAUGCCACUGUGAACCUAACAUUGUUUUUUGGAAAAGAACUAGUAGCCACGCUUAGAUAAAGCGAUGGCUACAACUACCAUUUUAUGGCUAAUAAACAACUCCCUAUGUUUCAAAAUAUAUGGUGUAUAACUUCCGUUGAUUAUCAAACUUUCUAAAAUUUGACCAACCAUAUAACAAAAGAUGUCAACAUGUACGAUGCCAAAUGUGGAUCAUUAGAUCCAUUGUGAGAUACAUUUUUAUAGUAUCUUGAUUUGGCAUUCUAUAUGUCGAUAUUUUCUGCUAUAAGCUUGUUCGUCAAACUUUAAAAAGAGUUGACACUCAACAAAAGUUAUACGUCCUACAUUUUGGAACGAAAGGAGUACAUUAGUAACUUAUAAUUGUGGUAACUUCAUACUAAAUAAACCGGCAACUACAACUAAAUAAACCGAUGAUAGGGAUACCUUAAAAUACAGUGACGUAAUUAUGCAAUACACAACCUGGAAAUCAGACUUGCAUAAAUUGAUGACAAGUGCCUACAAUUAUACUCUGAUGGCUUGAAAAAAGGUACUCCCACGAGCAGCAUAACUUGUCAAUCUUAUCCUAGACGAUUAUCAAUGCCAAAAUAACCUUUCUUGAUCUGUUUUUUUACCGAGCCUUGGAAUAUUUAACUUGGCCUAGAACUAUAAAGACCCAUGACAAACAAAUAUUGCUGCAAAUUUGUUUUACAUUUAAUUCUAACAUUCAUUUUUCGAUUACUUUUGAAUGUGUUGAUGAUGAAACUUGAACACACGAACAUUUUGUGGCCACGAAAGAGAUGUUGCAGAAAUGGACCGAAUUUCUAGUAUAGAAUGUGAACCAAAAUACAUUUUUUGCAUCAGUUCACUAAAUUAAUAACACCAAAAAACCUGAACAACAGGAAUGUAAGAAACCUAAAUCGUUAGUCCUUUGUAAACUUUGGAUCAGAACAGUGCAAAAUUAUUAGAACUCAAAAUCCUGUAUGUCCUUUGAAUUUGACCCACGGAAAUUAUAAGAACCAGUCUACCGGAGCCAAAGUAAGACCAUUGGAUUUGGACCAUAAACCUAGAAAUGGAAAACAAACCGAUGAAAAAUAAAGAACAACGCAAAUAAAUUAAGAGCAUCCCAUGCAUCUUCCGUUUUCUAAUCCAACAACUAAAUUAGGACACCUUGUAUUAUUUCAACUCCCAACAAACACUGGCACUGCAGUGUAUACUAUUGAUCAUUUUUGUAUGCGAAAGAUGAAACUGCCGAAGUCACAGGGGCACCAAAGGUUAAUGCUAGUGCAGGCAAAAAUUGACCUUAGUCGGGAUAUCAAGCAAGCAUAGCAUGGGAGCAACCUAGCAUCUAGCAGCAGGAAAAUAAAAGGGAUCAAGCACACCAAAUUGAGACAUUUCUUGCCAAUUGCAGAGAGCCUAGACAGCCGACUUGCGCACCUUCUGACUGCAGUGCAAGGACAGCGACUCGCCAAGUUCAGACAAGGAUACACAAAUGGAGGCAUGAAGCUAGACGCGAGCAGACUUGGGGUGAAUUUGUGUUCUUUCUGCAAAUGGACUUUAGUUUUUGCUCUAAUGCUCUGAUUGAUUAUUGGUGGCAUCGAGCUUGUUCCACCAUCACACCACCCAUCUCCUUGCAGCACCUAAUGGGCCAGCGCUGCAGCUAGUAGAUCGCCGUUGCAGGAUGUGCACACAGCGGCCAGAACUCCCUAGUCCUUACUUAUGACAUCCUCACAGGGAUUGGAGGAAAUUUGAGCUAAACUCUCGUCAAUCGUUCCAAAUCCAAACCGGGAUGGGGUUAACUAUGACAUCAUCACAGGGAUUGGAGGAAAUUUGAGCUAAAGUCUCAUCAAUCCUUCCAAAUCAAAACCAGGAUGGGGUUAAGAGUGUGAGGCCCUGCAAGUGUGAGGGAAGACGCCUGCUGCGGCCAUCAGUUUCAAGAGUGCCGCUUUUGGGGUGUUCAUUGUAGAGACGUAGAGACAAACAUGCAAGAACAAAAAAUUCAGGACCAGGAAAUCUAAGAAGCGCCGCACAUGAUGACUAAACGGCACACGUGUGGCAGAUGGAACUUUCCUAUAAAUAAUGGUAACUACACAACGGAAUAACCAUGCAUUAAAAUCAUAUACAAAAACUUCAAUAAUUGAAAAAAUGCAACCAAUCCACAUUCAUGACCAAAGAAUUGCAUAAUAUACCCACAAAAUAAAAGACUUGCAUACGCCAAGAGACUCCAAUACAAGGGUUCACAAACAUAGAUGGUCUGGCGGUUAACCUAGAAGCUCCGAAAAUAUCUCAUCCCAACAUAAUUGGACACAUCCCACGUUAACAUCUUUCAGGAACAAACACAUGGGUAUCUGGAUUCAAAACUGUAGCCAAAUUCUACUACCAAACAUUAAGAUAGUUUCCAUUGAUCAGAUUUCAGGAGCAACUGUUCCAGCAACCUGGUCAAGAUCACGCCUUCCCUGGGAGGUGAUGAUCCUUCCACUGCAACGGACCAUCAAGACAGAGCAUAAGCAAAUAACAAGGUUAUUCAUAAAGUUAACUAUGGCUAAGAUCAGAAAGCACAAAUGCAGCAACAUUACCCCUUGGGAUCAACGUCAAUGAUCCCCAUCUUCUGCAACUCCUGCAGGAUGUUGCGGGAAAUAGCACCACUGCUCUUGCAGAAGUGCGGGGGACGUGAGCCAUUCCUCUGUCGUCCACCGUAGAUCUUCUGGAAGCCACCGAUCCCAAUACCCUGCCUCAGGUAGAUCUUCCUUGCAAUUGAAGCUAUAAAUGAAAUCCAAAAUAAAAAUCAGUGUUUCCCAGAAAAAUCAUUUUACCUGUGGAUAAAAUCAGGCUAUAUAUUGGAAAUGAUAGAACAGGUUUCCUCACCAGC